rnacentral:tRNA from 1 species
GGAAAAGUUGCUAUUGGUAAAGCGAGAUAUUUGCUAAAUAUUAUGUUAUGCACCUAGAGGUUCAAUUCCUCUCUUUUCCG